rnacentral:rRNA from 1 species
AUCAGAAGUGCGAAUGCUGACAUAAGUAACGAUAAAGCGGGUGAAAAGCCCGCUCGCCGGAAGACCAAGGGUUCCUGUCCAACGUUAAUCGGGGCAGGGUGAGUCGACCCCUAAGGCGAGGCCGAAAGGCGUAGUCGAUGGGAAACAGGUUAAUAUUCCUGUACUUGGUGUUACUGCGAAGGGGGGACGGAGAAGGCUAUGUUAGCCGGGCGACGGUUGUCCCGGUUUAAGCAUGUAGGCGGAGGUUCCAGGUAAAUCCGGUACCUUUUAACGCUGAGGUGUGAUGACGAGGCACUACGGUGCUGAAGUAACAAAUGCCCUGCUUCCAGGAAAAGCCUCUAAGCAUCAGGUAACAUCAAAUCGUACCCCAAACCGACACAGGUGGUCAGGUAGAGAAUACCAAGGCGCUUGAGAGAACUCGGGUGAAGGAACUAGGCAAAAUGGUGCCGUAACUUCGGGAGAAGGCACGCUGGUGUGUAGGUGAAGUCCCUGCGGAUGGAGCUGAGACCAGUCGAAGAUACCAGCUGGCUGCAACUGUUUAUUAAAAACACAGCACUGUGCAAACACGAAAGUGGACGUAUACGGUGUGACGCCUGCCCGGUGCCGGAAGGUUAAUUGAUGGGGUUAUCCGUAAGGAGAAGCUCUUGAUCGAAGCCCCGGUAAACGGCGGCCGUAACUAUAACGGUCCUAAGGUAGCGAAAUUCCUUGUCGGGUAAGUUCCGACCUGCACGAAUGGCGUAAUGAUGGCCAGGCUGUCUCCACCCGAGACUCAGUGAAAUUGAACUCGCUGUGAAGAUGCAGUGUACCCGCGGCAAGACGGAAAGACCCCGUGAACCUUUACUAUAGCUUGACACUGAACAUUGAGCCUUGAUGUGUAGGAUAGGUGGGAGGCUUUGAAGCGUGGACGCCAGUCUGCGUGGAGCCAACCUUGAAAUACCACCCUUUAAUGUUUGAUGUUCUAACGUAGGCCCCUGACCGGGGUUGCGGACAGUGUCUGGUGGGUAGUUUGACUGGGGCGGUCUCCUCCCAAAGAGUAACGGAGGAGCACGAAGGUUAGCUAAUCCUGGUCGGACAUCAGGAGGUUAGUGCAAUGGCAUAAGCUAGCUUGACUGCGAGCGUGACGGCGCGAGCAGGUGCGAAAGCAGGUCAUAGUGAUCCGGUGGUUCUGAAUGGAAGGGCCAUCGCUCAACGGAUAAAAGGUACUCCGGGGAUAACAGGCUGAUACCGCCCAAGAGUUCAUAUCGACGGCGGUGUUUGGCACCUCGAUGUCGGCUCAUCACAUCCUGGGGCUGAAGUAGGUCCCAAGGGUAUGGCUGUUCGCCAUUUAAAGUGGUACGCGAGCUGGGUUUAGAACGUCGUGAGACAGUUCGGUCCCUAUCUGCCGUGGGCGCUGGAGAAUUGAGGGGGGCUGCUCCUAGUACGAGAGGACCGGAGUGGACGCAUCACUGGUGUUCGGGUUGUCAUGCCAAUGGCACUGCCCGGUAGCUAAAUGCGGAAGAGAUAAGUGCUGAAAGCAUCUAAGCACGAAACUUGCCCCGAGAUGAGUUCUCCCUGAGACU